CUGUGAUGUUCACACACCAGACACCCGAACCCCGUUAUUUGCUCGACCCCCAAGGAGUCUCUCCACACCUCCGCGGUCAGACGAUCCCCCGACAGCAGCCACUGCAGACACAGGACCCGGCUCCACACACCCCCUCCCCAAACAGCAGCGCUCAGCCUCUUCGCCAGCAACCGAGGAGUAGGGGAGGGGGCACAGAGACAGUCAACAGGAACGCAGAGGCUACGGCGAGGCUGCUUAGAGUGUCUAUGCCCCCUCUAUUUGCCGCUCCCGAACUCAGGUACCGUCUCCGACUCAGCCCCCUGCGCCCGCUCAGUGUCACUGCCUCUCGCUCUGGGAAAAUGGCGGCUGACGGCGGCGGCCGCGGCGGCGGCGGCGGCCGCGGCGGCGGCAAGUGCACGGGGCCCGCCCGCCCCGCUCCGCAGGGGCAGAGGGGGAGGGGACGAAGCUGCCCGCCGCCAUUUUGCUUAUGGGCUGCCGCCCGCCGUUGCCUCUCCACGGAGGCUCGAAGACAGCCAACUGGAAGCAGAGCGGUCAACAGAAUCUCCGUCUAUUUCACAACAGAUGCAUUCAACAAUUCACCGAAGUCUGGCCUCCGGAGCGGGGUGAACUCGGUUAGGGUGUCACUCGACGCCCACUAGGGGCUGAGGCGGCUUCAGUGCGCAGGCUCCGAGCACCGGAUAAAAGCGGAGCUGUUGAGUCCAGCGCCGUCUCGAUGGAGGAGCGAGAAACGGAAGAGGUCGGGGGGAGAAGCUGCUGGAAAAAUACAGCCACCGUCAGCGCCGCCUCCCUGCCACCGUGUAUCGGGGUAAAAAGCUGUCGUUGCCGUCGGUGCAGUUGCCGUCGCUACCUCCUACUUCUUUGGCCCGGGGGAACGAUUUCCCCGCCGCGGGAUAACGUGCGGGGAGGGGAUCGGGAAUUCUUUUAGAUGGCAGUUGACUAAACGGGGUAGGGCCAGACAGACGGUUAUCUAAGAACAAAAGGGAAGGCCAAAAAAUAAAGGGUUUCCCCAGCAAAAUGACACGGUGAUUGCGGUUCUUGUUUUCGGGGUCUUUCCCCGAAAUGGCGGUUUCCGUCUUCUUGCUCCACAGCGACCCGGAGCGCUCGGUAAGCGGGGUGGGGAGAGGCAGAGGUGGUCCACGCAGCCAAUCAGUGUCUGAUGUGUUCUGUCGAGCGCGUCCUGAUUGGCUAGCAGUGACCUCAUGCUGCAGCAGCGGGUGGGGCCAGAGCCGCCGGGGGAGGCUGUUGCAAAGGCCGAGAGGGAGAAGUGACGAUGGUGUUCGUUGCUGCCGCGCCCGAUUCGGAACACAAGCUGUGGCGAGGGGAAUCUAAAGGCUCUUCCUUGACUAUUUUCUCCUGUCCCUGCGCGAGGAUAUGAGCCCCUGCUGAUUGCCAAGCAUUGUCCCAGCGCAUGAGGACUCCACAGAGUUGCUGUUUGUUAUUUGCUAGGGGCGCCUCCACUGUCUGAAGGCGGCUCAAGAAGCUAAACAUGGAGAUUUCUGUUGCUGCCCGUGCCUGAUGAGCAUUUGAUUAGCUUUGUCGAAAAUGAACAGAAAUUCAAAAUGACCCAUUCCAAGCCUGUAGAGUCAAACUGGACUGACUCUCCCUAUAAGAAGCUUUCAACAUGAAGAUUCCAGCUUGGCAGGCAGCAAAUGCUUUAGUAUUUCAGUUGAACCCAUUGUAGUUUUUCCAGGGGUAAAACCAGCCAUGGGUACAGCUCAGAAGGUUGGUGUUCUAGCACCUCUUCUUUAGGUGGAGGCACCAUGAGCACUUCUCAGGUGGCUGUCUCACCAGCGGUGCUCACUGAGCCACUGCACUGAGGCCUCAGCUCCUACUCAGAAAGCUCCUGUCCCUGGUCUGCCAUCUGCUAAUCUCCUGUUGGUGAGAUCAAAGUGGUACUUCUGUUCUGCUUCAAGUGUCACUCCUAAAGAGAGAGUUCUAUGGCCCUGCGUCAGUCAGGGUGUUCAGAGAGAUGGAACUAAGAGGAUCUGUAUAUAUAGUGAAGGAGAUUUAUUUUAAAGAAUUGGUGCAUGCCAUUGUGGAGGCCUGGAUGUCCAAAAUCUGAUGGCAGAGGCCAGCAGCAGGCUGGAGACUCAGGAAACCGUUGUGGUUUAUAUCCACAGGUUCUGCUAGCAAGCCAGGGAGAGCUGAUGCUACAGAUGCAGGGGUAAGGCAGUCUGCUGGCAGAAUGCGCUCUUGCUCUGGGAAGGCCAGCCUUUUGUGCUAUUUAAGCUUUUGACUGAUCAGAUGAGGUCCACUCACAUCAUGGAGGACAAUCUGCUUUAUCCAAAGUCCACUGAUUUAAUGUACACCUCAUCCAAAAACAUCCUCACAGAAAUAUCCAGAAUAAUAUUGGACCAAAUAUCUGGGCACUGUGUCCCAGCCAAGUUGACACAUAAAAUUAACCAUCACAAACCCUUUUUACUAAGUGACAGGAGGGAGCUGUCUCAUACUCUUUGUUCCGGCUGCAUGCUUUCUCUGGCGAAGUCACAAUCAUAGGUACUGGACUGGAAGAUAGUUAGAGGAACACUGAGCUCAAAAUCUACUCUUCUCGUGAAUUCCCAGCCUAUAUGUCCAGACCAAGAAAGAGAACUCUCACUGCUCUCAGGUUUCCUUCCACAGCAGCCUUCACCCCAGGCCAGAGGAAGAUGAUUUCCCACCCUUCACCAACAUCUUGGCUCUGGAGCCCAAGUUUAGCCAACCACUGUCUCUCUAAGGAGAUACGUCUCCAGCUGGUCAGCCCCAGCAGCCCGUGGUGUGAGUACAAAACCUCCUGAUUCCAUGUAUGUUGUUGAGUUGAGCUAUGGAGACAUUAGUCAUGUUUACUGUUGAUGGAAAACAAAGAAAAGCUAUAACCAAGGCCUCACUGUGGUUCUUAACUGUUGCUCACUAACUGUAAUAAGAUUAUAAAAAGGCCCCAAAUAGAAAGUGUAUAUAUGGUCAGAGUAAACAGGGUCAGAGACCAGACUACUCCUACAGGGGCGGAUGACGACUUGUCUCCUUCACUGGAGUAGUUUGUGUACACACCCUCCCUGAUGCUGCCUGUAUAUUUCCUGUUUUAUUGAGAUACAAUUCACAUUUCAUACCAUUCACCCAUUUAAAAUUUAUGACUCAAUGGUUUUUAGUAUAAUCACAGAGUUGUGCAACCAUCACCAUGAAGAAUUUUGGAACAUUUCAUCAUCCCCCAAACAAACCCCAUACCCAUAAACAGCCACUCUGAUUGCUUCUCUCCCCCCAAAACUUCCCGGAUCCUAGGCAGCCACUAAUCUACUUCUUGUACCUUAUGGAUUUACCUCUUCUGGACAUUUCAUUAAAUAGAAUCAUACA